GGAUAAUCUACCCUUAGGACCGGGAUAACCCUGGGAAACUGGGGAUAAUACUGGAUAGGCAAUUUUUCCUGUAAUGGUUUUUUGUUUAAAUGUUUUUUCGCCUAAGGAUGAGUCUGCGGCCGAUUAGGUAGUUGGUUAGGUAAUGGCUUACCAAGCCGUUGAUCGGUACGGGUUGUGAGAGCAAGAGCCCGGAGAUGGAACCUGAGACAAGGUUCCAGGCCCUACGGGGUGCAGCAGGCGCGAAACCUCCGCAAUGUGAGAAAUCGCGACGGGGGGAUCCCAAGUGCCAUUCUUAACGGGAUGGCUUUUCAUUAGUGUAAAGAGCUUUUGGAAUAAGAGCUGGGCAAGACCGGUGCCAGCCGCCGCGGUAACACCGGCAGCUCUAGUGGUAGCAAUUUUUAUUGGGCCUAAAGCGUCCGUAGCCGGUUUAAUAAGUCUCUGGUGAAAUCCUGCAGCUUAACUGUGGGAAUUGCUGGAGAUACUAUUAGACUUGAGACCGGGAGAGGUUAGAGGUACUCCCAGGGUAGAGGUGA
rnacentral:rRNA from 1 species